GAUGAACGCUAGCGGCAGGCCUAACACAUGCAAGUCGAGGGAGGAGCUUUCGGGCUUCGACCGGCGUACGGGUGCGUAACGCGUAUACAAUCUGCCUUUCACAUAGGGAUAGCCCGAAGAAAUUUGGAUUAAUACCUAAUGGUAUAUAGGAGUGGCAUCACCUUUAUAUUAAAGCUGAGGCGGUGAAAGAUGAGUAUGCGUUCUAUUAGCUAGUUGGAGAGGUAACGGCUCCCCAAGGCGACGAUAGAUAGGGGUUCUGAGAGGGAUAUCCCCCACACUGGUACUGAGAUACGGACCAGACUCCUACGGGAGGCAGCAGUGAGGAAUAUUGGACAAUGGUCGGAAGACUGAUCCAGCCAUGCCGCGUGCAGGAAGACGGCCUUAUGGGUUGUAAACUGCUUUUGCAGGGGAAGAAUAAGGAGUACGUGUACAUUGAUGACGGUACUCUGCGAAUAAGCAUCGGCUAACUCCGUG
rnacentral:rRNA from 1 species